rnacentral:lncRNA from 1 species
CCAUGUCGAUCCUUAAUAUGGAUGCUAGUGUUGCAGCUUUGAAAUACCAAUUCCAACUCCUAGAGUUGGAGGAGUACAUGUACCACGCUUAUAAGAGUGCGUGUGUCUAUACAAAGAGAAGACUAAACAUAUACAUGAUGCUCGUCUACAAUGUGUGAAGCAGUUUAAAAUAGGUGACAAGGUGCUGCUCUAUAACUCUCAUCUCCAACUAUUCCCAGGAAAGCUAUAAUCUUAAUGGUCCGGUACAUUCAUCAUCACAAAUGUCUUUCUGUAUGGCAUCAUUGAAAAUUCUUAGCUUAGCAACCGUUGGCUUGCAGGAAGAGCUACCUUGGUAAAAUAAGUUACCUCAGCCAUCCCUAUAUACACAAUGCAAACAGUACAAUUGUCGGUCGGCAUCGGUCUGUUCUCAAAUUGAUAAAUGGAACCGUAGUUUUUUAUGGGGCGAUUCCGAAUCCAAGAAAGUUGUUCACCUUGUUGGUCUACUGUCACGCUACCCAAACUGGGGGUUAUUCGAACUUAGCAAUGCGGUCCGAUUGAGAGAAAGGAGUCUUCAAGGUCAAUGGCCACCGCCUCAUAAGGUACCUCGCAAUAGAGAUCAUACAUGUAGUUGAGGUUCAUCGCCUCGAAACUCCUCCAGAAAUCGCCAAGUAUCAUCUAGUUCAAAGACAUUAAAGAAAGAGCGCUUCAUAAGAGAUAGCCCAUGUCUAGAGUCAUUUUAAUUUUAUCUUAUCAAGUCAAUCUUUAUUGUAGGUAUUAAUCGAGUCUAGCGAAAAUGAAUUUUGAGCCCUAAUCAUUUCAUUCAAUUUAGUUGUCCCAUGUCAAUUUAAAAAAAUGCAAAAUUGCUAAAAAACAUAACAUUUGUGCCUUGCAUAAAAUUUUACCUCCCCAAAGCGUAAAUGGUUUUCUUCCCCAUUUCACUCUUCUAGAUAUCUUCUACCGUCGUAAGCUAGUAUAGUUUGUUGCUAGAUUAUGAUGAUGAUUGUUCCAAGGAUAAUUUCCUAAAGUUUAAGGUUGAAUACUCUUUGAUUCUAUAUUAUAAUUAUGAUGUGUUUGGGAUAUGAUGUGUGUGCAACCUUAAUUGUGGUAUGGCUUGAUUUUGGUCAAAUUAGUUGGUUCCUAUAUAUUGAUUUGGUAGGAAUAGAUUUAUGUGUAUCCCAAAAUUGAAGGAAAAGUAUUUCUAUACCAAGACAACACCCCAAUUCAACCAUUCGUGUAAGAAUUCCCUGGUGUGCACUUCAAUUGGCACUUAUACCAGUAAUUUAAUUGAGGCAUUGUGAUGGGCCAUUCCAGAUUGAACCGAAACAAUCCUCCAGUUUUGGAAGAUUCUUUGUCCAAGAUCGAACUUCUGAGAAUAGGCCUCUAGCCUAAAGAAAUGAGCCUUUCGUCCUAAAGUUACCUACUCAAAUAUGGGCCCGUCGAGAGAGGAAAGCCCUUAUUCGGCUAUCAUCCCAAACCUAAGGCAACUGUCCUGGUUUAAAGGACGAGAUCACCCAAUGAAGAUCAACCAUCUAAGGCAAAGCCACGACAGCCUUAACCGAAGGUGUUAUAUAAGGAGAACAUGACACCACUGAUAAAGGGAAAUCUACACCAAAUGUGAAACAUUUUCCCAAUGUAAAAUCCAUCCCCAGAAGACUCUGGUUAGACCAGUGGUCCGACCCAUGUAACCUCAACAAGGGCUUUACUAUACCAAACUUUACUAAUCACACAUAAAUCAAGUAUUAAUAACAUAAACAAUCUAAUAUAUAAAAUAAGGGUUCUCAAACCAUGUACUGAAACGAAGACCUUAAAACAAGCUUUAUAAUUAUAGGAAGGAGGUACAACCCCCAAUUUCUUAAAUAGAUCAAAUCUUGAAAAUCCAAACCGACCAGCUCUUCCCACCUCCAUUUCCAAUACCUGAGGCUGAAAACGCAAAUACAUACUGAAAGACUAACACAUCCAAGACGAGAUGAAUAAAAAGCACCGAGUGUCUAACAGACAGCCGUAACUUAAAGCACAAAUAAGAAAGGUAAAUGCAUGGUUAAGAAUGUCGGAUCGAACUGACUGGUCCAAUUGGUUUGACGGCAAACCAACCAAAGAGCCGAAACCGAGUCGCCGGUUGAUGAGAAUGGUCGAAACCAAACGUUGACCCGAUUUAACCAUGAAAUUUGGCCGGUUCAACCAAAAUUGUUUGGCCGGUUGGACGCGAUUUUUAUGGCUACAUUUUUUAUUUUUCAAAAAUAUGGAAGUGAGAUUCAAACAAUGAUCUUUCGAGAAGAGAAGAUGAGUGAUUAUCAUCUGUACUAAUAUCAUAAUUUGAUUAAAUCAUACAUUUAAUUGAUAAUAAUAAACAUUAUGACAGCUAAUUAACACUAAAAAAGUAGCAACUUACCAUAAAUGAAGUAAAUUGUACAUUAGAUCUCAAUUAUUUGAUUAAUAAAAAUUUCAAAUCAUUUAUAUGAUUUAAAAUUUCUUAAAAAUGAUAUAAUAACUAUAUUUUUUACAAGGUAAAUUAUGAUUUUGAACUCUCUAUACUACAUGUUCAAUCCGGCUCAAUUAAAAAAUCGUCCAGUCCGGCUUAACUAUAUUUAUUAAUUUAAUUAAUAAUUAAAAUGGUCCAACCAGGUUUUAAAAAUGAUCGGACCCCGAUCGAACCAUCAAACUCUCAACCCAUAUCUUCCCCUAUUCAAUCACUGGUCUAGUUUUCAAAACAUUGGCUAAAUGAAUAGACAAAUAGUGACUGGCAUAUUUACUAGACCACUAUGGCUACAUUACUAGAGAUGGAAUUCAAUUACUUGUGAUUCCUCAUUAGUGGGUUAGCUUCAUAGUGGAACAUACCACAAAGCGACCAAAUCCGUACAAGCAUCAUCUUUGACAUAUUCUACACGUCUGUAGUAACAUUAAUCACCUAAAGGGUUGUGCAACCUAGGGAUGGGUACCAACACAUAACACAGUAUAAUAUAGUCUAUCUCGGUAAUGAUAGUAAUAAGUCAGGAUACAGUAGAAUCCAUCUAGUAAAUAGUGGAUCCUUAGCUCAAGAGAACACAAGCCAUCAUGCCUCAGUAAAAUCACAAGCUGACAGUGGUAGCGGUCAAUUAUAACCGUAAAAUCAUUAGGAUAAUCCUACCCAGACCAGACAGAAAUGUAACGGGAAACCCCAACUUAGCAAAAGCCGAUCUCUGAAUAUGAGAAGAGUAUUCUUCCCUUAUCUAUAUAAGCUUCCCCUGAUCCCUAAUAGUUCAUUUGGACCAACUCCAUCAUUCUCCGUACCAAGAACCACUACAACACAUCAAUAUAUGAAAAAUCCUCAAAACUAAAACCUUCUAAAAUUGAGAAAGAAAUCCAUGAUCACCUUUAAUUGCCUUAAGUAAAACGUUCAUGAAAUAGCCCCUGCCCAUCCUUCAAGAUCUCGUGGAGAUCAAACUUUUUUAUACCAUUAAAAGUGGAACUUUCUUUUCUGAAAAUGCCUUCAUCGAGUAUUGCAGAAAAACUGAUUUAGGAAUUUCAAAUCUUCUGUCAACUAAAACACCAAAA